CGGGUGAGUAACGCGUGGGUAACCUGCCUUAUACAGGGGGAUAACACUUAGAAAUAGGUGCUAAUACCGCAUAAGCGCACAGAGCCGCAUGGCUCAGUGUGAAAAACUCCGGUGGUGUAAGAUGGAUCCGCGUCUGAUUAGCUGGUUGGCGGGGUAGAAGCCCACCAAGGCGACGAUCAGUAGCCGGCCUGAGAGGGUGGACGGCCACAUUGGGACUGAGACACGGCCCAGACUCCUACGGAAGGCAGCAG
rnacentral:rRNA from 1 species